AAUAGCACAGUACGAUGAAAGUUGUAAGCUGUGUUCGGGGGGGAGUUAUUGUCUAUCGUUGGCCUCUAUGGUAGAACCCGUCGGGGAGGCCUGAGAGGCGGUGGUUUACCCUGU
rnacentral:ncRNA from 1 species